AAGUCGUAACAAGGUUUCCGUAGGUGAACCUGCGGAAGGAUCAUUAUCACGUAUCCACGUAUAAACCAAACCGCGAACUGUCUUUGCCUUUGGAGGUUCUAGCUGGGAUUAGCUUAGUUCAUUGUGUGAUUUUGAACGGCUUCUCCUGAUUUGUUGAUAGCUCCGGCUCUCUUCAUAACAUGGCUUUAUCUCUGAAGUGUAUUAACUCUAAAUCACACUUUAACUAUUAACCACUUGAACCUUAUUGUUAUUCUAUUGUUUGAACUGAAUUGUUUCUUACUCUAAAGCUUCGGCAAUGGA
rnacentral:misc_RNA from 1 species